CAGCCGCCACGGGAAUACAGAGGGUGCGAGCGUUAAUCGGAUUUACUGGGCGUAAAGCGUGCGUAGGCGGCUUCUUAAGUCGGAUGUGAAAUCCCUGAGCUUAACUUAGGAAUUGCAUUCGAUACUGGGAAGCUAGAGUAUGGGAGAGGAUGGUAGAAUUCCAGGUGUAGCGGUGAAAUGCGUAGAGAUCUGGAGGAAUACCGAUGGCGAAGGCAGCCAUCUGGCCUAAUACUGACGCUGAGGUACGAAAGCAUGGGGAGCAAACAGGAUUAGAGACCCCUGUAGUCCCUGUCUCUAUACA
rnacentral:rRNA from 1 species